rnacentral:rRNA from 1 species
UACGGGGGGGGCAAGCGUUGUUCGGAAUUACUGGGCGUAAAGGGUGCGUAGGCGGGUCUUUAAGUCAGGGGUGAAGUCCUGGAGCUCAACUCCAGAACUGCCUUUGAUACUGAAGAUCUUGAGUUCGGGAGAGGUGAGUGGAACUGCGAGUGUAGAGGUGAAAUUCGUAGAUAUUCGCAAGAACACCAGUGGCGAAGGCGGCUCACUGGCCCGAUACUGACGCUGAGGCACGAAAGCGUGGGGAGCAAACAGG